CAGUAGCCGCGGAAUACGUAGGUGGCAAGCGUUGUCCGGAAUUAUUGGGCGUAAAGGGCUCGCAGGCGGUUUCUUAAGUCUGAUGUGAAAGCCCCCGGCUCAACCGGGGAGGGUCAUUGGAAACUGGGAAACUUGAGUGCAGAAGAGGAGAGUGGAAUUCCACGUGUAGCGGUGAAAUGCGUAGAGAUGUGGAGGAACACCAGUGGCGAAGGCGACUCUCUGGUCUGUAACUGACGCUGAGGAGCGAAAGCGUGGGGAGCGAACAGGAUUAGAGACCCCGGUAGUCCCUGUCUCUUAUACC
rnacentral:rRNA from 1 species